UACGGGGGGGGCAAGCGUUGUUCGGAAUUACUGGGCGUAAAGGGCCAGUAGGCGGCCAACUAAGUCCGACGUGAAAUCCCAAGGCUUAACCUUGGAACUGCGUCGGAUACUGGAUGGCUUGAAUUCGGGAGAGGGAUGCAGAAUUCCAGGUGUAGCGGUGAAAUGCGUAGAUAUCUGGAGGAAUACCGGUGGCGAAGGCGGCAUCCUGGACCGACAUUGACGCUGAGGCGCGAAAGCUAGGGGAGCGAACGGG
rnacentral:rRNA from 1 species